AGUGAACGCUGGCGGUAGGCCUAACACAUGCAAGUCGAACGGCAGCACAGUAAGAGCUUGCUCUUACGGGUGGCGAGUGGCGGACGGGUGAGGAAUAGAUCGGCAUCUACUUUUUCGUGGGGGAUAACGUAGGGAAACUUACGCUAAUACCUCAUACGACCUACGGGUGAAAGCAGGGGAUCUUCGGACCUUGCGCGAUUGAAUUAGCUGAUGUCGGAUUAGCUAGUUGGCGGGGUAAAGGCCCACCAAGGCGACGAUCCGUAGCUGAUCUGAGAGGAUGAUCAGCCACACUGGAACUGAGACACGGUCCAGACUCCUACGGGAGGCAGCAGUGGGGAAUAUUGGACAAUGGGCGCAAGCCUGACGCAGCCAUACCGCGUGGGUGAAGAAGGCCUUCGGGUUGUAAAGCCCUGUUGUUGGGAAAGAAAAGCAGCAGGUGAAUCCCCGGCUGUUCUGACGGUACCCAAAGAAUAAGCACCGGCUAACUUCGUG
rnacentral:rRNA from 1 species